GUACCAGACUCCUACGGGAGGCAGCAGUGAGGAAUAUUGGUCAAUGGGCGGAAGCCUGAACCAGCCAAGUCGCGUGAGGGAUUAAGGCCCUGCGGGUCGUAAACCUCUUUUGCCGGGGAGCAGUGGUCCGGACGCGUCCGGACCGGGAGAGUACCCGGAGAAAAAGCAUCGGCUAACUCCGUGCCAGCAGCCGCGGUAAUACGGAGGAUGCGAGCGUUAUCCGGAUUUAUUGGGUUUAAAGGGUGCGUAGGCGGAAUGCCAAGUCAGCGGUAAAAUCGGGGGGCUCAACCUCGCUCCGCCGUUGAAACUGGCGUUCUUGAGUGGGCGAGAAGUAUGCGGAAUGCGUGGUGUAGCGGUGAAAUGCAUAGAUAUCACGCAGAACUCCGAUUGCGAAGGCAGCAUACCGGCGCCCAACUGACGCUGAAGCACGAAAGCGUGGGUAUCGAACAGGAUUAGAUACCCGCGUA
rnacentral:rRNA from 1 species